GGGGAUUUAGCUCAAUGGUGCAGCAUCUGCCUGGCAAGCAUGAGGUCCUAAAUUUGAUUUCUGAUUCCCCC
rnacentral:tRNA from 1 species